rnacentral:rRNA from 1 species
GGAAGUAAAAGUCGUAACAAGGUCUCCGUUGGUGAAGCGCAGCGGAGGGAUCAUUACCGAGUUUACAACUCCCAAACCCAAUGUGAACGUUACCAAACUGUUGCCUCGGCGGGAUCUCUGCCCCGGGUGCGUCGCAGCCCCGGACCAAGGCGCCCGCCGGAGGACCAACCAAAACUCUUAUUGUAUACCCCCUCGCGGGUUUUUUUAUAAUCUGAGCCUUCUCGGCGCCUCUCGUAGGCGUUUCGAAAAUGAAUCAAAACUUUCAACAACGGAUCUCUUGGUUCUGGCAUCGAUGAAGAACGCAGCGAAAUGCGAUAAGUAAUGUGAAUUGCAGAAUUCAGUGAAUCAUCGAAUCUUUGAACGCACAUUGCGCCCGCCAGUAUUCUGGCGGGCAUGCCUGUCCGAGCGUCAUUUCAACCCUCGAACCCCUCCGGGGGGUCGGCGUUGGGGAUCGGCCCUGCCUCUUGGCGGUGGCCGUCUCCGAAAUACAGUGGCGGUCUCGCCGCAGCCUCUCCUGCGCAGUAGUUUGCACACUCGCAUCGGGAGCGCGGCGCGUCCACAGCCGUUAAACACCCAACUUCUGAAAUGUUGACCUCGGAUCAGGUAGGAAUACCCGCUGAACUUAAGCAUAUCAAUAAGCGGAGGAAA